AUGGACUCUGAAGGAGACUCUGGUAAUAAAUUCCACAAGCUUCUUCAGGAAGCACAGAGACUUGCAGCAGAGCUCAAUCCAAAAUUGGCAAAGAAAAGAAGGUCGGCAAAACCCGUAUCUGGUGUUGUUAGUUGGAGACAGAGGGAUAAUUCAGGACAAAUUAUUCCAAAAUUUCCCCCAAAGACUUAUAACUCGACUACACGUAAAAGGAGCAGUUCUGAAGUGGCUGAACCAGUAUUUCAGCAGCCUGAGCCAACACCUUAUGAUAGUGCUCAAGAACUUAAUGCACUGCAAGACAUUCUCAGGGACAUUCCUCCACAAGAGAAGGGCACUGUGCCACUAAGCUGGGCUGAACGGCAAGCUCAAAGCUCAGAGAAGUGGAAUGCUUCUAGAUCAGCCAUGGUUAAAAACAUAUUUCUCGCAGAGCACACAGACACCUAUAUCUGUGACAUCUGCCUGCAAAACACAUCUGUUGUGAGGUGCAGAGAUUGUUUGCCAAGACAGUUCCUGUGCAGUUCCUGCGAUACACAGAUACAUCAGCACAUCCUCCAUAACCGAGAAGCCAUGUUUGAGGGAUUCUAUCAACCCUUAGCCCCAAACAUGAUCAUUCAACUUCAAAAUGAUGGGUCACACCAGAUAAAGCAUGAAGAUUUUAAAUUCUUUUAA
ensembl:lncRNA